CACGGUGACAAGAGGGUGAAAGGUGUGUAAGAAGCCAUUGAGAAGCAUCUCCCGCAGCUGAAUGGAGGGAUAAGGGUCUUCAGCCAGAGUGAUAGUACGGGGCUCCGACGUGUCAUUGGAAAGGAAGAAAACAACAACCGCUUUCUCUGUGGCCCGAUCUAUGUGUGUGCACAUUUACUUUGAUUCACAUCGAUUCACAUAUAUGGAGGCUUUGCUUCCUCUGCAGAAUAUCCGCAUCUACACUAAAGAAAGGGUGAAAUUUGGCCUGUAAAUCAACAAUGCACAUACAUGUUCGUGCAUGACCCCUACGCCCACACAUCCACAGACACACACCUCCCCUGAGCAGCAUCACAUGGGUUUACUGGAUCGAGCUCCAGACACAGGAACAUCUGCUCCACUUCUCUUCCGACUGGGGCCAAAUCUCAGACCCGACCAGACUGCACACAGCAGGUCGCUAUGAGUAAUGCACACACAGGAGGGUGCAAUGUCAUUAUCUGAAGGAUAGAGGAAUGUUCCGUAUGCUGUCAAUUGCCUCUCUUUCCCAUCAUCAAGGUCCUGUCUCUCACAUUCUGGAUCUCCAUCUUGCUGUCUUUGACCCUCACCGGCCUUCUAAUAUUAAUAUUUCAGAAAAGAGAAUGGACAAUUUGGCAACGUGUUUUGCUUGGGAGCAUAGCGGGUUAACUUGUUGUAGACAAUUUAGAAGAACCUCUUUUUCUUUUCUUGUUAAUGUCAUUUUCAGACGGAUUUUCAGCCUGUUUUUGUUCAAACCAUCAUAGGGUUUAAUUUUUUAUCAUUUUUAAUUUGUAGAUUUAAAAAUAUUUUUGCAACAACAAAAACGAAAUAGCAAAAAAAAUAUUCCAGGUCAGAAACAAGUUAAGCGUAGCACUGUGACAUCAUGUUGAUAACCAACAAAAACAAUUUCAACUUAUAUUGUACCUCGGUUUAUAAAAAAAAAAAAAAACAUGUUUACAGUAAUGCACUCAUUACAUGUAAACUAAAACGAUAAAAUUCUUCAUGGAACAAACCUUAUACUUGUUUUAUGUGUCACAAUGCCCCUAGGAAACAGCUUUGCUUAAAUGUUACCUAACAUGAAUAACUCAAAACGGUUUGCAUUUAUAUAAAUCUGUUUUUAAAAGCAGAUCUUGUUAUCCUGUCCGAUCUAAGCACGGAUUGUUGAGAUUUUAUAGAGAAUUCAUGUGAGAUUACCGUUCUUUUCAUAGUUGAAAUCUCUGAGAGGCAGGAAAAGUUUCAUUUGCUUUCCAAACUUCUGGUGUGAGAAACAACUGGGAUAUUAAAGAGACCUUGUAACUUUUCUUUCUUUGAGUGGCUCCAUUUGCAUAUCAUGCAAAUGUUACAGGUUUCACUGGCUUUAUCUGGUCAUGACUGAAUAACAGAAGUUGAAGAAUUGAAUAUGACUUUGCACAGACAAGAGAACAAAUGCAAUGAACAGGAUUUCUUUGUCUGUUGUUGAUGUAUCAGAUCUCCGGGGAAUGACUAUAUUUAGCCUGCCCAGACUUUGGUUCCUCGUACUUUUAAUUUAUGAAGAACUUCCGUGACCCAAUCCAGUCACACGGAUCAAAGAGAAGGUAACAUAGUACAAUGGACAAGAGGAGAGAGAGAGAGAGAGAGAGAGGAGGAAAAAACUCCAGCACAGCAGUUUUGAGAUGGGAGCGAACGCUGCAAAUCACAUCCAUGAUGACACCAUACAGAAGUCACUGAAUAAAACACACCAAUGUCUGAGUACCGUCAUUUCAACCCAUGUCGCGGAGCAUAGAUCAGGACCUGACCGACCAGAGCGGGGCUGAUGACACGGUAAAAAGUGAUUGGUAAUUAAGCCAGACAGGCCGAGGUUUAAGCUUCCAUUAUGAGGCCUGAGAAUACAUGUCCAUUAAGGGCUACUUUACGCCACACUUGGGAGAGGCGGCGCCUCUUAAUGAUGAAGUGAGCUAUAAUUUAGACUUGUGUAUCAUGCUUGCCCUUUCUUCCCAAAUGCUUGCAGUAAUGAUUGUAUUGAUUGGAUCGAUAGACUGAAUGCCUAUCCAGGGUGAGCAUCUAAAAUGUAAAUCCUAUACGAUACAUAAAGCACCAAACCCAUUCUCUUCUAUUGUAACCAAUGGGUACCACCAUUGUUCAGUUACCAACAUUCUUCAAAAUAUCUUCUUUUGUGUUCAUACAGGUUUGAAAUGACAGUAAAUGGCCUUUUUGGGGAACUUUCCCUUUCACCUCUGUGUCAAAUGUUGCAGACUGUUCCGGUCACGUCCGUGACCUACUGAGAGAGAACAACUGUUGUAUGAUGAUGUACUUGGCCAGAGGUUGACGACUCGGCCUUUUCCCUGCUGAAUGUGUAUAUGAGCGCAUGUUGAGGAGAGUGAGGUUGUGACAGAGAGACAAUAAGUCAUAACAUGGUAAAGUACAGCUAGGGUUGGAACUCAGCCCAGUGUACUUACGAAUACUUACUCCUUGGGGGUCAGAAAUUGGAUGGGAAGAAUGACACGAUGAUGUCAUUCUUUAGAGAGAUAUAUGACCUACACAAGCGCAUGCGCACACACAUUCGCUUGCAGCGUGCUGUACCACAUCACAAUCCUUUGGCUGGGAUGUCUUGUCACUUAUCUUGAGCAGUGCAGAGAUCUGUCAGGAGAUGAUAAACCCGGGCCGGCUCGGAAUCGCUGACUGCUCGAGUUCAGGAAU